CCCCACCCUGUGGUGUUGCAGGUGUGGUUCCUGCUUGGAGAGGUUAUAAUGAAUUAGUGGGCUCACUUAUGAGUAGGUUUUUAUCUCGAAAGGAGCACCUGUGGGGACAGGUGUCUGAGCUUUGGUUUGUGUGGUUCAGAGAACCCGAUGUGCAGGCAUGUGGUGGGCAGGUGGUUUGAGCCUGGGUGUCUUUGCUUUCCUCUGAUUUUUUUUUGUGUUCUUUUGUUGAAGUCACCACAGAAUGAGGGAAAUUGUUGAACCAUCAUGGUGUUGAAGAUGCAGCUUUGUAUGAGGCCUAAUAUCGACUAUACUGACUGGAGCAAGCCCAAGCUGGAGGGUGCAGGGUUGCCACUGAAUGAUGCUGACAACCUUCCUUGGCAUGCCAGACCCUACAAAUUCAGCACCUGCUCAAGAUUGCUCUUCCUCAGGAAUGAAGUAUUUGGGAGUUUGCCUGCAAUUCUGUAGUGCUUUGCAAAGCUCUUCACAGUCGCUGUGUUGGGAUAGAUUCAGGCCACUAGAAAAUACUUGGUCUUGAAGCUACCUGUGACUCUGGAUAAAAUCAAAAAUAUUCCUUUUGUUUCAUCCAGCAGGCUGUUAAACCAAGCUCCUUCCAGGUUGUCUCCCAUGUUUCUCCAAAGCUGAGGUACCACCCCCCUAAACAAGCUUGGUCCUUAGGUGUGUCUUUCUAAAAUUAAUGCUGAAGAUUCUUCAGAUAAGUAUUCCCAUCCUCAACUUUACCAGAGAAGAUUGCAUCCUUUGUGCUUCUGACAUUCUUCAGUUAUCGUGGAUCUAGUUAAGAGAGUCUCUCUUCAAGCCCGUUUCUUUGUCGUGCAUCAUAAUGAAGUGAUAAGUGACACUUUGGGAAUGCUUGGGCACAUGCAACACAAAUAAUACUGGAUUUCUAAAGCUGUAUCCUGAAAAUGCCCGAGUGAUUAUGGAGCUGGGCAGCCUCAUAGCAGCUGUAUGAGGGGAAUGAGAGCAGUAUGGUGGUGCUGAGCUGCCCAUUGGUGUCAAACCACCAUGACUGUGAAGCACUGCUCCUUAUUAGUUUUUAUUUAGACAACUGACUGGUAGCAAUGUGUUGCUCUUAGACUGAUACAGGUCCAGCCAGGCCUCAAUGUGUCAGAGCUUUUGGUUCAUCAGUUAGCAGAGCUGCUUCAGUCUGUAUGCAUUUACCAGUUCAUUCAGAUGAAACACUAUUUUAUGACAGCAUGAGGUACUUGCCUACUGAUCUCCUUGAAUACAGCUGAUCUCCAAUAUGGAGAGGAGGUCUAAUUUCUCUUAUGUGCCAUUGUCAACUCUGAACGUGACACUAAAAAGUGGUAUGAAAUCUCUAGUCCUGAAAUGUGGAAGAACAGAAAUCUAUUUUCACUCAUCGUUUUCUGUUUGCUUGCUUAUCUUUGCCGUGUUGGGGGGGGGAGUGGGAGGAGCAUCUUUACAUUGUCACUUGCAUUGAACUGUAAGAUGUAACAUAGAAAGGCUUAAGUGACACUCUGAAUGGUGAAGGUCUCUUGGACUAAAUGGUCUCUUGUCUAGAAUUAACAAUUUUGGUGCUUUUUUUUGGUGAGACCACUGGAGGUACAACUUAAUCCUAUUGCAAUACAUGGAGACAUUAAAAAAAAAAAAUCUGGUGACAGAAGAAUGCUUGGUAUGAUAAUACUAUAGCAAUUUGUUUUUUAUAGCUGAAUUAUAAAUCCAAGAACUGCAGCUCAUAAUUCACGUAAUUAAUAAGGUAUAGUUUGGUUUUUGUUUUAAUUUUGCUUAGCAUCUAAUAGCAAAUCUGGAUUGUCUAUUUAAUUGCUGUGAAACCAGUGAGGCAAAUGCAAGUCCUUUAUUCACUGAAGGGUAGUUAAAGUACUGAGAAAAUGUAGACAAUAGAAGUUCCACUGCACUUCAGAACAGGUCUUGUUUUUGGAAUGUUUUUAGGAGCAAUGUAUCAUACCUUAGAUUUUUAGUCCUGUUUGAGAAACUUGGAUAACUUCUUUCACUCACGAGGAUUAGGUGGAUGUGACCAGAACACUAAAAAUAUUGGGUAAACAUUAGGUGAUUGCUUCUUAGUUUUGCAGAAUCAUUGAAUGGCUUAGGUUGGAAGGGACCUUAAUGAUGAUCCAGUUCCAACCCCCCUGCCAUGGGCAAGGACACCUCCCUCUAGACCAGAUUGCUUAAAGCCCCAUACAACCUGGCCUUGAACACCUCCAGGGAUUCACAUUCACAGAUUCUCAAGUUUUUGCUGGUCAAUCUAUUUCUCUGUAAAUCUAACUUGUCUCUAGUUUGGAUAUGCAGUCUCUGUAUAGGCUGCUGCAUUUAUCCGAGUGUCUACUGAUGGUAGUGAAAUCUAUAACAUGAAAAGAUAAAUAAAAGGUGAGAAAUCCACCUGUUUGCUUAUCUG
rnacentral:lncRNA from 1 species